UAAACAAUAGGGCAGAGGAAGCAAUCGGAUAGGCAUUUGCUUCAGGUGAGCAGAGGGAUGACUUUCUGUCCCACAUCUGUGAAGAUCAGCUGUUGGUUUACAUUGCCAGGGUGAAAUUCAACAGAACUAAUUUAGGGUGAAGAUCUUGAGGCCCACAAGGAAUUUCCUUGUGGGAAAAUUGUGAGGAAGGAAUAGGUCCUUCUGUCACGGGGCACAGGACCCUUGACCGCAAAAUGACGUGAGUUACCACUGACUAUUUUCUGGGUCUUGAUCUUGUGACUCCAAAUGGAUGGACCCAAAGGGACCUAAGAGAGUGCUCAGACAGCUGGCUGCGUUAGGAGCUACCUGUGGCUGCUGAAGAAGAGUUUGCGUCAAUUUAAAGAAAGAGCCAUUCAAGGAAUGAGGACCAUGACCUUGGCUGCACUGACCAGCUGGGCUCUGGAGACUCAGUGAGGCUGCCCAGCCACCAACAGGCCCUGCACAAUAGAUCCACGGACCCAGCAGUCAGAGGUGACCCUAGGGGUCACUGGCCCGUGGCUAAGGAGGAGGAGCACAGACCUGCGACCCCCUUUUCCCAUGGACCACCCAGGGAGGCUGAGCGGGGACUCUGAGCUCAGAUGGACAACCUCAGAGCCACUGGGAAUUUGCCUGAGGCCACUGGGGCCAGGGUUAAAUCCAUAUGAAGCAGCGCGGGCUGUGCACCUGCCAUUUUCUAGGCUCUGUCACAUGCAUCUUUCUGCCAAAUCUCAUGGUGAUCCUUCAAGAAUAGUACUAUUAAUCUCCCCAUUGACAGAGGGAGAAAGGGAGGCUCAGAGACGUUAAGUGUCUCACCAAAGCUCACACAGCUUCCAAGCAAUAGAACUUUACUCAGUACUCAGUACAGGUUAACAUUUAUUCAUUCACUCGAUAACCAUUUGCAGCACAGCUACCAUAUGCCAGGCAGUGUUCUAGGCACUUAGAAUACAUAGAUGAGCAAAACAGGCAAAACCUUUCCCUCAGGGCGUUACCAUUUGAGUGCCACCAUGCCACGGCUGGUACAGUUGCUAUUGAGACAAACAAAAUAAGACCCAGUUUUUGCCUUUGGGGAGUAGGUAGUCUAGUGGAGGAGGCACAUACACAGAAAAUUCCAAAGUACUGUGGAAAUCUCAGGGUACUUUGAUAGGGAUUACCAGAGGAGCUGUGAGAAUAAAGGCUGGAUAUCAGGGAAGGCUUCCUGGAAGAGGUGUUGCCUGAAAUGAGCCUGGAAGGAUCACUUAGGGACAGAAAAGUCAUUCCGUGUAGAAUUCAUGGUGAGUGACAGAGCCUAAACCCAGUCUCUUUUGCAUGCUGAGCACUGAGACCCAGACGCUGGUGCUCAGACCUGAUGACUUAUUUUCCCAGGUACAGCUUGAGCAAAGACACAGAAGCAGAAGGCAGGUUUUUGGUUCCAUGAACUCUACAUCUGGCUACAUACAAAUGGUGAAGAGGAACAGGGAGAAACAUGGUUGAAAAGAACAGGCUUGGACUUCAGGAAGCAGUAAAAUGAGCGAAUGCCAUUUAUGGUUACAAAGAUAACUCAGCUGGGGGCCAAACAGAGACUGAAAUGGAGUGGGUGAGGAUGGAGGCCGGGAGGAGAUGGCUGCAGAGGUCCCAGCAAUGACAGUGGUUGUGGGAAGGGGCAACCCCAAGUCUUGUGCUCCCAACUGCAAAUCCAGUGCUUUUUCUAAAAAAAUAUUUAAAUAAUUUAUUUAUUUUUGAGAUGGAGUCUCGCUCUGUCACCCAGGCUGGAGUGCAGUGACACAAUGUCGGCUCGUGCAACCUCUGCCCCCCGGGUUCAAGCGAUUCUCCUGCCUCAGCCUCCCAAGUAGCUGGGAUUACAGACGCACGCCUCCACGCCUGGCUAAUUUUUUAUAUUUUUGGUAGAGAUGGGGUUUCACCAUGUUGCCCAGGCUGGUCUCGAACUCCUGACUUCAAGUGAUCCACCCACCUCGGCCUCCCAAAGUACUAGGAUGACAGGCGUGAGCCACUGUGCCCAGCCUUAUUUUUUUUUUUAAUUUAUAUUUUCAGAGGCAAACGAUCCUUGCUCAUUAAAAAAAGGAAAUAGAAAUUCAAAACAAAAAUGCCUGUAUCUGAUGGGAAAGAUGAGCCCAAUGUUCUUUUUUAAAAAACCUUUAUUAUGAAAUAUUUCAACUGAACAUAUGCAGUUUAUAUUGUUAUAAAGCAUAACAAGCAAUCAAACAGCUGUGAACCCACCACUCCAUGUCAGAACUAGAACUUCCCAAAGCAGUCGGAGCUGAGGUGAGAUCCACUCUGAUGCCCUUCCCCAACUCCACGCCACCCCCCAAGACCUGACCACCUGAUUACUCUGGGAUUUCAUUUUUGUCUCGUUCCCUUGCUUUGCUUUAUGUCUUUACCAAAUGUGAAUGUGUGCCUAAACAAUACAGUGCUCGAUUUGCUUGUGUUUAAGCUUUAUUACAAAUAUAACUUUGAUCCUUCUGCUACUUGC
rnacentral:lncRNA from 1 species